rnacentral:sRNA from 1 species
UACUUUAUAUAUAUAUACUGUAAAUGCGAGGAAGUAAUUUCGCGUAAAAAUCGCGAAAAGCACAUCUCGCGUAUUUUAAAAUCUGACAAGCUUAAAAAUUAAUAUUCUGACGGAUGUAAACUAAAUGAAACUAUGAUAAAUCAUUGGCAUUUGCGGUUUUAUAUUCUCGCGAUUUGAUGCAAAACGGUGGAAUCGCGGAAAUAAUAACUGGCGUAAAAUAAGGAAUCUACAUUAUAUGUACAGUGGUUCUGAUAGUGUUUUGUGUGUCAUUCCAUUAAGCAGCUUAAAUACUAAGUAUAGAAAUAGUGUCACUAUUGCUUGUCUUAAUAUAUGAAUAAUUCAUCAAGAUCGAUUUCAUUUAUCUGUCAUAUGACGGUUCAUGCAAUGCGUAUUAAAGUGUUUGUAUAU